rnacentral:misc_RNA from 1 species
GAUGAAGAACGCAGCGAAAUGUGAUAAGUAAUGUGAAUUGCAGAAUUCAGUGAAUCAUCGAAUCUUUGAACGCAUCUUGCGCUCCUUGGUAUUCCUUGGAGCAUGCCUGUUUGAGUAUCAUGAGCAAAUCUCAAAGUCAAUUCCUUUUGUUGAUUCAAUUGGUUUUGCUUUGGACUUGGAGGCCUUGCAGAUUUCACAGUCUGCUCCUCUUAAAUGCAUUAGCUGGAUCUCAGUAAUUAUGCUUGGUUCCACUCGGCGUGAUAAGUAUCACUCGCUGAGGACACUGUUAAAAAGGUGGCCAGGAAAAUACUGAUUGAACCGCUUCUAACGGUCUAUUAAGUUAGACAAUUACCCUUAAGUUUGAUCUCAAAUCAGGUAGGACUACCCGCUGAACUUAAGCAUAUCAAUAAGCGGAGGA